rnacentral:lncRNA from 1 species
CCUGUUUUGUCAAAAUCUGCCUAUCUUGCCCAGCAGUCGUACAAUACAUCAGAUUGAAAAUUCUAGCAACUCCGAUAACAUGAUGGUCUAACCUUGCUUUUCUAUUAACUUUGGUUAAAAGAUUCUCCUUCCCUUUUAAUCUCCCCUCUUCUUGAUUUCUUAUGAUGUCAUGUUAUAUAUAUAUAUAUAUGUGAAGUACUGCCUUUGUCAUUCUUAGUAUAAAUAGCCGUAACUUGUAUGUAUGUAUCAGAGUAGUGUUGAUUAAUAUAUCUUAUAAGAAUAUACAUGUGUUCCUAUUAAACCAAUCCUUGGAUUAUUCCUCCUCGUCUUCUCUUCCUCGUUUCUCUCGGUCGUCCAAAGGUUAAUAGAAGUACAAGGUUAGACCAUCAUGAAAUCGGCCUUGCUAGAAUUUUCACAAAAAGUGGAAAUCCUUCAACCGGAGUAUGGAUGAUUAAAAUCCAAAUCUAAUUUUAAGGAAGCGAUGAAAGGAGAACUGGAAAAUAGAUUUACUAAAUCUCAAUGUAAACUCACUAUCAGUGGGAAGAGGCUUGAAAAUGGAAUGAGGAGGAUUUUGUUAAAGCAAUGAUACUGCAGUCUAUUUCCUUAAAAGCCUACCGUUACAUUCAAUCCAAUUGUCUACCUCCAGUUCCUAGUGUAACAAUCCUAAAACGGUGGAUCCGAAAUCUUAAAACAGCUUCUGGAAUACAAUCAAAUAUUAUUAAAAGAAUAACUCAACCAAAUCAAAUCCCACGAAACUCCAAAUGGGAACUUCGCUGUCUUGUGCUUUGAUAAGAUGAAGCUCCCGACCAAUAUCAAAAAAGGUAUUUGGAUGUGCCUAUGGAGUAACUUUGGAUAUACAAAAGGAUAUUCUCCAAUGCAUGAUAAAUGUGAUUGGAACAAUGAAGCAAAUUAAGAGAAAUAAAAAGGGUGAAGUGGUGUUGCCUAAGUCAUCUGCUUUGAAGUCCUGCCAAAAGGGCAGAAGUAUUUCUUCAAAAUCUUUGAUAUCAUUGCAUUAAUUCAUAAAUAAUGAAAUUGGCCUUCCAUAUAUAUUGACAUCUCGUUUAAAUCAAGAUUGCCUUGGAAACCUUUUUUCAAGAAUAAGCUAUAUUGGAUUAACCCACUGUCAUCUUAAUGCGGUAGAGGCCAUGGAUAGAUUUCGGAUACUCGUUAUAAGUGGCUCAGAAAAAAUGGUUGUUGAGAAUGCUCCCGUCAGACCUGAAGGAGACCAAUGUUUUGUUUCUAUGUUUUAAUAAAUUACAGGUACUAUUUUGAGCGAAGUAGAUCUGGAAGAUAACAUAGAAUUUUAUCAAGACUUUGAUGAUAUAAUUUAUCCUCAAAUCAUUAAAGGUGAGAUUGAGGAAGACAUAAAUAAUGAUGAAAAUACAAUAGAACAGCCAUCUAAUGAUUUACAUCAUCCUAAAAUCUGUAAAAAUGAAGGACUUAUUUAUGUUGCUGGAUAUGUGGACAAAUCGUUACAUAAAAAAUGUCCCACUCUGUGUUUUAAUACUUCCAGCAAUCAAGUUCCUCCAAGUCCAUGGCUCAAAACACUGUCAAGAGGGGACCUGCAUCAACCAUCGGAAUCUUUUUUGUAAUUUUGGAAAAAAAAUAGAUAAGCAUUUCAUUAAGUUUCAUGGGAUUUUUUUUGAUACCGAACCAUAUGUGAUGGAUCUACUCUUCAUCAUAAUUGUGGAAAGGUAUCCCAAGGAAGAAUAUGAAGUUAUAAAAAAUUUAUUUGCACUCGUAGAUUCAUUAGACUAAAGUAUAUUAAUAUUGUAAACAGAAGUAGCAUAAAAAGAAAAAUAGCAAGGAACGUGCGUAAAACUGCUCAUUUCAUUAGCUAAAAAAUAGAGAAGGAAAUUAUAUAUAUAUAUUUUUUUGAGGGUCAUUAUUUAAUUUUAAACAAUAAACUUUCGAGAUGUGAGUGUCUAAGUCUAAAAACCUUGUCAAGUAAUUCCUUGGAAAUUGGAUGGACAACAUUUUUUUCAAAGUAAAAGAGUUCUUUUUUAACACAACUGUAAUGCUAUUGGGUGCGAUGUUUUCUUCUUGUGUCAAAUCCACAAAGAGUCAAUAUGAGAACUGUUUGACUGUGGAUUAAUCAGUUCUAUUUCAAUAAAGUACUCGUUUUAAGA